rnacentral:misc_RNA from 1 species
GUGAAUCAUCGAAUUUUUGAACGCAAAUUGCACUCUCUGGUAUUCCGGAGAGUAUGCCUGUUUGAGGGACAGUAUAAAUACAAAUCGGUGUGGUUGCCGCCUUUUGUGGUGACGAACGGGAUUUGGGUCGUCUUGCUUUCGGUUAAGUGACCUCAAAUUUUGCAUGAUUUUUUUUGAACUUAUUUAAAUUAUUUUACGUACGUUUGCGAUAUCGAAUACUAGGUGUGGUCAUCUUUAUGA